UUUCCGUAGGUGAACCUGCGGAAGGAUCAUUACAGAGUUCAUGCCCGAAAGGGUAGACCUCCCACCCUUGUGUAUUAUUACUUUGUUGCUUUGGCGAGCUGCCUUCGGGCCUUGUAUGCUCGCCAGAGAAUAUCAAAACUCUUUUUAUUAAUGUCGUCUGAGUACUAUAUAAUAGUUAAAACUUUCAACAACGGAUCUCUUGGUUCUG
rnacentral:misc_RNA from 1 species